ACAAAAUUGUUUCAGGUUGUUUAGUUGUUAAAUAUAAUGAGCAAAAACAAUUCGAAUUUGGAUAUCCCCAGAGGUUUUCGCGGUUCAACGGAACAACCGGGAAUGAACCCGUUUUGUAUAGAAAGCAUUUCACUAGUCGAUCAUUUUUUGUAAAAUUUCCAAGGGAAAAAUCACACAACGAAAUGGAUGAAGGGAGAACAGAAAUUGGGAGUAGAAAUCCUGGACUAACAUGACACACUGCCUCUAGGCCACUCAUUUGUAGAAACAGGAGACUGGAUGUUCUCGAUUCUCCCAGUAUCGACGUAUCGAUAAUCAAACGACUGCAAUCAAGGGCUGGUGUACUCGCUUCUUUCGGGCUUUUCCAUCAUCUCCCUUUGGUCUGAAGAGUAAAAAAAUAUUGCAGCAUUGAAAAGGGCGAGAACUGUGAACGAGGGAUUCUAUGUCUAUCAAUAAAUAUUCCAUCAACGACUGAGGGGAGAGAAACGCGAAUGUGUUGCAAAAUCUGGGAAAUUUAGCUGCAAAAGCUCCUUCUCAGGUCAAUAGAAUGAAAUAAACAGGGAAUUACGCACGAUAAGCGGAAAUUAUGUGCAAAAUAGCCAUUCGUCGGCAUAUUACAAAUUUAUUAGCAGAAAUAACUAUAGUGUGUGCAAUACCGGAGCAAUUUCCCGCUCGUUUUCUCGCGAGGAAGAUGUUUCAAAACUCCUCCGACAUAUUGUCUCGAAACUGCACUUUCCCGAGAUAAUAGCCCAAUGAAAAACGAUUUACACUCAUUAAAAAUAUCCGAUGACUCCAUAAAAUUGGGAUGAAAGUCCUCACGCUGAACAUUAUACCAGAUACCAGAAGUCAUCGACUCAUGCAGUGAUUUUAAUCGCUAAUAAUUCACGUCAGACAGCAUAAAUUACAUAAUUACAACUCGAAGAAAAACUGCAGUCCGAUGGAUAAAGAAUUUUUCCUGGAACUUUCAUAUGAACAAUUAUCAGUCCAACUCAGAAGAAUUAUCAGUCCAAUGCAGAUCAAUCGUGUCUGUUUCGCCAUUACUAGAGUUAACCUCGAGUUCAUGAGACGAGAGUUUCAUUGCAGAACUCGUUCUAGGUCGUCCAAGGCAUCAUCAUAAAACUACGAUGAGGAAGCAACUGCACUCACUCGCGAGUCAAGGUUUCAACUGAAUAAAAGAUGUAUCAAGGUGAGAAUCGAGAGGAGUUCAGUGAUCCGGUGAGUUGGAGCGAAAAUUCACAGCUUAUGGAAACAGAAGGUCUUAGACGGUGAAAUUAACGAUCUGCGCUUUAUUUACGGUGAAGUAGCAGUCGUGGAGUGCGCCCCGGGGGGUCAGCCCAGUCUCCGUUACCAUAAUCACUCUGGCAUCAAUUCAUUGUUGAAUAUCUCACGACGUGAGAAUUUCUCACUCACUUUCUAAGCAAAUCUCGCGGUGCAUUUUGAUUCGUAGGGGGAUUUGUACUCCUGAUUAUAUAAACUACAUUUUUUCAGAAUUUUUCUUGCUUAAUGAAGCGAAAAGCAAUAGUAUUUUGAGGAGACAAAAAUAGCGAUUGAAUAGAGGGGUUUAUUUAUUUAUAGAAUUAUUCAUUUGAUUUUAGUGCUCUCACGGUUGCGUUAUUAUUCCUGGAAUUUAAUAAAUCUCUAUAAAAUCAUCAAUUUGAUUUUUUUUUAUUUCUGAGGAAAGUAAUCAAUUUUUUUUCACAAAAAAUAACGUGUUACUUUUCAUUGAAACUUUUGUUAAUCCUGGAUUUUCCAUGAAUUUGUUGAAUAAUUCUAUCCCAGUUAUUUCGGUCCAUGUUUUAAUGGGAAUAACUCCCAAAACGUCAAUUUGACUGCGCAAUUAGAGCCGCUCAACAAAUUGGUUUCUCUAUGUCUAUAUGCACAUCAAAGUGC